rnacentral:rRNA from 1 species
CCUACGGGUGGCAGCAGUGAGGAAUAUUGGUCAAUGGACGAGAGUCUGAACCAGCCAAGUAGCGUGAAGGAUGACUGCCCUAUGGGUUGUAAACUUCUUUUAUAUGGGAAUAAAAUGUUCCACUUUUGGGAUUUUGUAUGUACCUUAUGAAUAAGGAUCGGCUAACUCCGUGCCAGCAGCCGCGGUAAUACGGAGGAUCCGAGCGUUAUCCGGAUUUAUUGGGUUUAAAGGGAGCGUAGGUGGAUUGUUAAGUCAGUUGUGAAAGUUUGCGGCUGAACCGGAAAAUUGCAGUUGAUACUGGCAGUCUUGAGUACAGUAGAGGUGGGCGGAAGUCGUGGUGUAGCGGUGAAAUGCUUAGAUAUCACGAAGAACUCCGAUUGCGAAGGCAGUUCACUGGACUGCAACUGACACUGAGGCUCGAAAGUGUGGGUAUCAAACAGGAUUAGAUACCCGAGUAGUC